GUAUGGAUUGGAUGAAUGGACUGUAAGGUGGAUAGAAAGCUGGCUAGAUUGUCGGGCUCAAUGGGAGUGAUCAAUGGCUGGAUGUCUAGUUGGCAGCCAGUAUCAAGCGGAGUGCCCCAGGCGGGUGUAGAGGUAGAAAUUCUAAAGCCAUCUUGGAUCCUCUAAAGGACAACUAGGCAUCCAUGUUUGUGAGCCUUCUUGUUCCCUCCCCACUCCAAUUUAGCGCCUUUUCCAUGUUUAGGUGGGAAAGACACUGGCUGUCAAUCAUCUAAUCCACCUAGUAACCAAAAGUCUAUAUAAGGCGGUGUUCAGAUCAGAUCAGGGCUGCCCGUCUGCGUGGCAGAAUGCAGAACAGACAAGGGUAGGCCAUUUGCCCCACGUGGACUACUUUAAGUAGAGGAUUAUUCACACACACACUUAAUCCAUCUUUUGUAAGAUUUGCUUACUGCAUGCACGAUGACGCAGGUAGAGAGAGGGGGAGUUCAACAACUUACCUGAAAGACGCUCGUCCGGCCCUCCUUUAAGAUCCUUCUUCCAUCCAGGGGAUCCAGUGGUCCUGGCGUGCCGUACCAACCUAAGGAGAAAAAGGACAUCAGUACUUCAAGCUGCUAAAGAUGGUAUUAUAAUCAUUGGGGACCGGUUUGAAGACUUUUCUUCAGACUUCAUUGAGAAAUUCCAAGUUGAGAGAAGCAGGGAUGUGAAUAGAGUCCAUGGUUAUGGAGGAUGGGCUGAACGGAAACAAAACUGGGAACAUAUAUUUGUAGUCUAACAGCAGCUGUGGAGGGUCAUUUCGCUCUUGCAAAUUUGCCUAUGAGGUUUGUGUGGAAAAAAUAAAAGUGUUUUGCCGUGAUCUUCCUUCAAGCAGUCAACAGGCCUCCCCCCUGGAGAUGCAUCCAUGAUGCUGCAUAAGUAGCCAGGGAGUUUGCAGCAGAGCAACACAAGUUGUAACUUCCCACAAAGUGAUGGAAAGUGCUGCCCAUUCAACUCCAGGAGUGAGAAAGUGGAGCUGGACACUGAAUAUGACUCUCUUGUGUAGCAGCAUACACUACCAGCAACAUGCUUGUCCUUUUAUCCAGCACAUCAGCAGGACUGAGAAGAAUGUUAAACACUAGCUACUAUUUUCCUACUUUCUCUUUUUGACAUUCAAGCAUGCCGGGUGGCAGUUGAUUGCUGUCUUCCAUCUCAGAAGAGGCUGCAUUUCAGUGAUGUCCUACAUUCCUGUAUCCUACUAGCCUUACUUGCAGGAGUAGUCUCAUUGAGAAAAUGAACGCUUGAGUGCCCAGAUACUAUACCGAUAAGUAGAACUGGGCAAUUUUUUUUUUUUGGUGAACAGAAAAUGAAAACAUUGCAAAUUUGACAUGAAAUUGCUGAAUAGUUUCAGCCAAAAUCUUUGUUUUCAGGAUUGAGAUGCCAUUCACAAAAUGGCUGGAGGAUGAGACAGUGGUAGUGCCUGCCUUGUAAAGUUUAGCUCAGCGCACUCACCUAAGAUAUGGAAUAGGAGUCAGGUUCAAUUGCCCCCCUCUGUCUGAUCUGAAGAAGGGAUUUAAACUUGGAUCUCACAUACAGCAGAAAAGUUCCCUUACUCCUGGGGCUAUUGGAUCAUCUGGAGUGGGUUUUUCUCAGUCUCUACUGUUGAAGUGGUUCCACUUUGUAUAACUAAUUAGUCAUUGGAGGUUGGGACAAAGACAGAGAGUGAGAAUGACCACGGCUGCCCAGAGGAUUCGGGGGCCUGAGGCAAAUGGGGGGGAGCUGCAGCGCUUGUAUUCACUCGAUGGCGGUCUGUGUCCUCGGCGGCAUUUCAGCGGUGGGGGGCCCUUCAGUUGCU